UGCUUCUUUGCUGACGAGUGGCGGACGGGUGAGUAAUGUCUGGGGAUCUGCCCGGUAGAGGGGGAUAACCACUGGAAACGGUGGCUAAUACCGCAUAAUGUCGCAAGACCAAAGUGGGGGACCUUCGGGCCUCACACUACCGGAUGAACCCAGAUGGGAUUAGCUAGUUGGUGGGGUAACGGCUCACCAAGGCGACGAUCCCUAGCUGGUCUGAGAGGAUGACCAGCCACACUGGAACUGAGACACGGUCCAGACUCCUACGGGAGGCAGCAGUGGGGAAUAUUGCACAAUGGGCGCAAGCCUGAUGCAGCCAUGCCGCGUGUAUGAAGAAGGCCUUCGGGUUGUAAAGUACUUUCAGCGGGGAGGAAGGGAGUGAGGUUAAUAACUUCAUUCAUUGACGUUACCCGCAGAAGAAGCACCGGCUAACUCCGUGCCAGCAGCCGCGGUAAUACGGAGGGUGCAAGCGUUAAUCGGAAUUACUGGGCGUAAAGCGCACGCAGGCGGUCUGUUAAGUCAGAUGUGAAAUCCCCGGGCUCAACCCGGGAACUGCAUUUGAAACUGGCAGGCUUGAGUCUCGUAGAGGGGGGUGGAAUUCCAGGUGUAGCGGUGAAAUGCGUAGAGAUCUGGAGGAAU
rnacentral:rRNA from 1 species